CCUACGGGCGGCAGCAGUAGGGAAUCUUUCACAAUGGGCGAAAGCCUGAUGGAGCAACGCCGCGUGCAGGAUGAAGGACUUCGGGUUGUAAACUGCUUUUAUAAGCGAGAAAUAUGAUGGUAACUUAUGAAUAAGGAUCGGCUAACUACGUGCCAGCAGCCGCGGUCAUACGUAGGAUCCGAGCAUUAUCCGGAGUGACUGGGUGUAAAGAGUUGCGUAGGUGGCAUAAUAAGUAGCUAGUGAAAUCUGGUGGCUCAACCAUUCAGACUAUUAGCUAAACUGUUAAGCUCGAGACCGUUAGGGGUAACUGGAAUUUCUAGUGUAGGAGUGAAAUCCGUAGAUAUUAGAAGGAAAACCAAUAGCGUAGGCAGGUUGCUGGGACGGUUCUGACACUAAGGCACGAAAGCGUAGGGAGCAAACGGGAUAGAUACCCUUGUAGUC
rnacentral:rRNA from 1 species